GCAGCGGUGGUUGUGUGCGCUCGUCCCUUGGAUUCACCACCAGGACCCACACACUCUGCUCCUGUGCCUUGAAAAGUGUUUAGUGUGCAAAUAAAAUAAAGCAAAAAAAAAAAAAGGGGGAAGGGGGGUAAAAACUAAGGGAACAAAAACCAUCACAGAAGUGGUUAAAGUGACAAAAACUGAAACUGAAACUGUGCAGCACAUUAUGUGUGUGAGUGUGAGAUAAGGACCUGCCGAGACAUUGGCCCGAAGACUGCGACAAUGGCUACGCCCAAGGCCUAGGCAAGUUGAACGCCCACACAAACACACACAGGACGAGCAGGACGAACAGGAGGACCAGGACGAACAGGACUGGCAGCCUGGCAAAUGACUUGUUUUCGGUUCUUAAAUUGUUUUAUUUUUCCCAGCCAUUUGCCAUUGUUAUUUAGCGCAUUGUGGACAUUACGUGGCCAGGCCCCCCUGCCAUAUGUUGGCUCUGUGUUUGUGUGGGUGUUGCGAACAGGGUCCUCUUUAAAUGAAAUAAAAACAAAGCAAAACCAUCGACAUCUCUUUAAGCGAAUGGAGGAGAGCCUCAUUACUGGAUGAUGCUGAUGAUAAUGAGCUCUGCGUUCCGACCCCCACACACAUUAUCAUUCACAACUCAUCCGAUUGUCAUUGUCUAUGUCUUCCUGGCAUCACGACGAGGCAGGAGUGGAAGGAGCAGGUGCAGGAGCAGGAGCUGAGGAGCAGGACCAAAAGAGCUGCAUGCCCAUCCCCUCGACAUCGUCGUCGUCGUCAUCGCCGUCGCCAUCUCAGCCUGGCUUACGAUUUUGCGCUUGCAUUCAUUUUUAAAAGACGACGGCCCCGAGGGCAUGCUUUUGCAGGUAUGCAGGAUACACGGCUACAGGGACACACUCCAUUGUCUGCAGGACACCGCGGCAACAAACUCCAAAUCACAGCCUGUGCUCGUGCUGAUGUUCCAUCUCCAUCUUCAUCUUCAUCUCGACAUGCGCUAAUGGCAAAAGAUCCACAAAAGAUGAAAGCAUGUGUGGCUUUAUCAAGUGGUAAGUAUUUAUUGAAGCGGGAAAGUUAUAA